rnacentral:sRNA from 1 species
GCGGCCGCCGCCCGCUUUGCGCCGCUCCUCCCUGCGCGAGUGGCGCUGGCCCCGGCGUCGAGGCGGCCAUGGCGACCCGGAGCCCGCUCCCCACCCACCCCGCCUGCUCCGCCCUCCCCUCCGCCCCGCGCCACCUUUGAUGGCUCGGACCUCAGCCGGCCACCGCCAGCCCUGCUCGCGCGCCCGCGCCGCCGCCGCCCGCGGGUAUUAAUAGCCGGCGCCGCCGCGCCCUCGGCCGCCGGGGGCUUGGGAGCCGCCGAUCCCGGAGCCUGAGCCGGGAGAGGGAGCCGCCGCAGCCGCCGGCGCUGUGGAGAUGGAAUCUUGCUCUUGUUGCCCAGGCUGGAGUGCAAUGGCGUGAUCUCAGCUCACUGCAACCUCCGCCUCCCAGGUUCAAGCGAUUCUCCUGUCUCGGCCUCCUGAAUAUUCUCUAAGC